rnacentral:lncRNA from 1 species
CAGACUCCCAAAGUGGGGAGGGCGUGGCUGCAGGGGAAGUUUGGUGUCUGCCGUCUUCUUUUGCACCUGUACUUUUGCGCUUGGUUGGAAAUCACGUAAACUGUUUACAUCUUGUUCAGCCAGGAAAGCUGUCCUUUGGGAGUUCUACUUAUUCCUUUUUUUCUGGACUCGAAACCGGGGCCGUGGUUUCGGAAAUGGGAGGAAAGAUGGGAAGGAUGGACGCAGGUUUUCUGAGCCUCUCUACCUAGAGCCUGCCAGGAUAAACCCAAAUUAGAACCAACAUGUCCAGUACUCUCCGAACGUCUGCCACGUACAUCGUUCUCCUUGUUAACACCAGUGUGUAUCCAGUAUCAUAAAGGCAAGUACACACUUCGGAAUCAGCUACUUGCCCUACUAAUCUGUGAACCUCAGAUUUUUGCCUGCAAUAUAAGAGGUUUUAUGUUCAUGACAAGUUAGGGUAAACGGAGGUAUGCAGACUUCGAAACAUUUUGGUCCCAGGGAGAAAGAAACCUGAACAGUAUCCACGUUAACUGUUUCUCUCUGCCAUGCUCAUUCAGCUCUUAACUCAAACUCAAGAGAGGCCUUCCUUGACCACCCUAGCUAUGGUAGUCCUGGUCAUUCUCUACCCGGCUGUCCUAUAUACUUUUCUUCAAAACGCUUAUCACUAUUUGAGAUUUUUUUUUCUAUUUUGUGUCCUAGAAUAGAAAAUAAGCAUCAUGAUGCUGGAAUCUUGUCUAUUUUGUACAUGGCUGUAUAAAGCCGCUAAAACAAUGCCUGGCAAAAAUAAAUUGAAUGGAAUGUAUGGUGGUUUGUUUUAAAGUUAAUCUGAGUCGCUUAUCUAUAUUACUGCAAAAUAACUAUCUCGGGGAAAUUUAGUAUGUCCUUAAUUUUUAAAAAAAUCAACAAGUCUCUUAUACUAAUUGAGAUAAGUAUAACCAAAUGAGGAAAGAGAUUAUCGUUAAGAAUGGUAAGCAAAUUUAAUUUCCUAUGACAAACAUAACUUAAAAUAUUCAGUGGACAAACAUUAAAAAAUGAUGUCCCAUAAAUGUAGGCUCAAUAUUACUAAAAAAUCUGAAUAUUACUGG